GUGAGGAAUAUUGCGCAAUGGAGGCAACUCUGACGCAGCCAUGCCGCGUGCAGGAAGAAGGCGCUACGCGUUGUAAACUGCUUUUAACCGGGAAGAAACCCCAGGACGUGUCCUGGGUUGACGGUACCGGAGGAAUAAGCACCGGCUAACUUCGUGCCAGCAGCCGCGGUAAUACGAAGGGUGCAAGCGUUAUCCGGAUUCAUUGGGUUUAAAGGGUGCGUAGGCGGAGCGUUAAGUCAGUGGUGAAAUCCUGCAGCUUAACUGUAGAAUUGCCAUUGAUACUGGCGCUCUUGAGUGCGCUUGAAGUGGGCGGAAUGUGCCGUGUAGCGGUGAAAUGCUUAGAUAUGGCACAGAACACCAAUUGCGAAGGCAGCUCACUAAGGCGAUACUGACGCUGAGGCACGAAAGCGUGGGGAUCGAACAGGAUUAGAAACCCCAGUAGUCC
rnacentral:rRNA from 1 species